AGAGCGAACGCUGGCGGCAGGCUUAACACAUGCAAGUCGAGCGGGCGUAGCAAUACGUCAGCGGCAGACGGGUGAGUAACGCGUGGGAACGUACCUUUUGGCUCGGAACAACACAGGGAAACUUGUGCUAAUACCGGAUAAGCCCUUACGGGGAAAGAUUUAUCGCCAAAAGAUCGGCCCGCGUCUGAUUAGCUAGUUGGUGAGGUAACGGCUCACCAAGGCGACGAUCAGUAGCUGGUCUGAGAGGAUGAUCAGCCACAUUGGGACUGAGACACGGCCCAAACUCCUACGGGAGGCAGCAGUGGGGAAUAUUGGACAAUGGGCGGCAAGCCUGAUCCAGCCAUGCCGCGUGAGUGAUGAAGGCCCUAGGGUUGUAAAGCUUCGUUUUGUGCGGGAAGAUAAUGGACGGUACCGCAAGAAUAACGCCCCGGCUAACUUCGCGCCAGCAGCCGC
rnacentral:rRNA from 1 species